CCGAAAGAUCCCCAUUCAUUUGUGUUGAAGCCGCAAAUGAGACCGGAACGUAGAAAUGGAACCAAAAAUUGAUAAAAAUCGUGGAAGUAUUCGGCGACGCCAAUUCGCACAUACUUCCGUAGCGAUUAUAUCACAUCUUUUACCUCAUGACCCGCUCCAGACACUUCCUACCGACCAAACUACCCUGGAAUGAUUCAUGAUGGUGGUUGACGCCAUAACGUUUCUGGAAACAAUGGCCACAACGCGCCAUCAAUAGAGAUGUAGAUAAUUCAUAAUUUGUGUCCAUAAUUCAGUCGAAAAUGUAGCUGCCAAGAGCGUUCUUGUUCAAAACCAAUAAUUGCAGACAACUUACAGCAUAAAUCCUUGUUUUGGAAAAUGUUUCUACCAACCAUUCCGAAAGGUGAUCCGAUAACUGUGUUUAACUGUGUUCAGUCCACUUGGACGAAUUUGGUUGUCAUUUUCAUGGUUUGCUUCUAAACAUAUAAUGAUGCGAUUUUAAAUUAAUAAAAUAAAGUCUUACUUCUCCACAAUUUCACAAACAA